AACGCUCACAUUGCUUUAUACCCUCGCUAAACGGCGUUGUAUCGACUUUCACGAUUGGUGGAUUAUGACUUGCCCAGGACCUGCUAUUGGCUGUGCUUCAACCGCAGGACCCACGAACACAUUGCGAAUUUGGAGAGUCGAUUUUUUGGACCUGAGCAGGGGAGGCAGAAGGUCUGAUGAUCAUCCGGAGGGUAUGAUGACUCAUGAACGCCGGUUAUUCCACAUUUGGGGCAAAACCCCCCCGCACCAACGUCCAAUGGACGCUUCACCGUGCCAAGGUACGAAUUCGAUCGGUCCUUAUAUGAAAAUUAUACCACUGAUGACGUGUUCUCUGUAUUUUUUGUUGUUGAUCGAAAUGAAGAUAGUGUAACUUACUCACGAAAAGAGAAAUCUGAAAUUAUUAUGAGUUUUGGAAAUUUAUUUUUGGUGGAUGCCAAGGCUUUGAACGAAUUGUUGAGAGGGAGACAUUUGGAUCGAUUCGGUAGUUCCGUUUCGAGGGGGGAAUGUUUUCCAUGGGAAGUCUGUUGUUCAGGGAAUAAAUUACUCCCUGGUAUACUUGCUGCAGGCCAAGCUGGUGCGUAAUUAGGAAUUUUGAGAGCCAGCUGCACUUCAUAACGCCUCGAUACCCUGCCUCGGAUUUCAUUUCCUCUCUUGACGAAACGAAAUACAGAGGCCAGAGGUGAAGCCCUUUGUGCCGUUGACCUUGAUAAGGAUGUGGGAGCGAUAAAGUAGUUGAAAAAAAAAGGAAGAGCAUCAGCUGGCAGGUACUAGAGGCGAUCAGCACAUUUAGGGAAUGAUUAGUUUAUUGAUAGUGUUUCUU